rnacentral:rRNA from 1 species
AUUGAACGCUGGCGGCAGGCCUAACACAUGCAAGUCGAGCGGAUGAAGGGAGCUUGCUCCUGGAUUCAGCGGCGGACGGGUGAGUAAUGCCUAGGAAUCUGCCUGGUAGUGGGGGAUAACGCCCGGAAACGGGCGCUAAUACCGCAUACGUCCUGAGGGAGAAAGUGGGGGAUCUUCGGACCUCACGCUAUCAGAUGAGCCUAGGUCGGAUUAGCUAGUUGGUGGGGUAAAGGCCUACCAAGGCGACGAUCCGUAACUGGUCUGAGAGGAUGAUCAGUCACACUGGAACUGAGACACGGUCCAGACUCCUACGGGAGGCAGCAGUGGGGAAUAUUGGACAAUGGGCGAAAGCCUGAUCCAGCCAUGCCGCGUGUGUGAAAAAGGUCUUCGGAUUGUAAAGCACUUUAAGUUGGGAGGAAGGGCAGUAAGUUAAUACCUUGCUGUUUUGACGUUACCAACAGAAUAAGCACCGGCUAACUUCGUG